AAAUGAAUAGACGGGGGCCCGCACAAGCGGUGGAGCAUGUGGUUUAAUUCGAUGCUACGCGAAGAACCUUACCAGGUCUUGACAUCUUCUGCCAACCUAAGAGAUUAGGCGUUCCCUUCGGGGACAGAAUGACAGGUGGUGCAUGGUUGUCGUCAGCUCGUGUCGUGAGAUGUUGGGUUAAGUCCCGCAACGAGCGCAACCCUUAUUGUUAGUUGCCAGCAUUCAGUUGGGCACUCUAGCAAGACUGCCGGUGACAAACCGGAGGAAGGUGGGGAUGACGUCAAAUCAUCAUGCCCCUUAUGACCUGGGCUACACACGUGCUACAAUGGACGGUACAACGAGUCGCGAAACCGCGAGGUCAAGCUAAUCUCUUAAAGCCGUUCUCAGUUCGGAUUGUAGGCUGCAACUCGCCUACAUGAAGUUGGAAUCGCUAGUAAUCGUGGAUCAGCAUGCCACGGUGAAUACGUUCCCGGGCCUUGUACACACCGCCCGU
rnacentral:rRNA from 1 species